AGUGAACGCUGGCGGCAGGCCUAAUACAUGCAAGUCGAACGGCAGCACAGUAAGAGCUUGCUUUUACGGGUGGCGAGUGGCGGAUGGGUGAGGCAUACACCGCAUCCACUCUUUACCGGGGGAACUCCGGGGGACACGUGCUCCUACCGCGUAACCCCCCUAACCGCGUAAGCUGGGGUUGCUCGGCCCCUCCGGCUUUCAAUUGCGCGUUGUCCGAUUGGCCAGUUGGCGGGGUAAGGGGCCACCAAGGCCACCAUCCGUAGCUGGUCUCCGAGGAUGAUCGGCCACACUGGAACUGAGACACGGUCCAGACUCCUACGGGAGGCAGCAGUGGGGAAUAUUGGACAAUGGGCGCAAGCCUGAUCCAGCCAUACCGCGUGGGUGAAGAAGGCCUUCGGGUUGUAAAGCCCUUUUGUUGGGAAAGAAAAGCAGCAGGUUAAUACCCCGCUGUUCUGACGGUACCCAAAGAAUAAGCACCGGCUAACUUCGUG
rnacentral:rRNA from 1 species